AUUGAACGCUGGCGGCAGGCCUAACACCUGCAAGUCGAACGAGUGGCGGACGGGUGAGUAAUGUCUGGGAAACUGCCCGAUGGAGGGGGAUAACUACUGGAAACGGUAGCUAAUACCGCAUACCAUCGGAUGUGCCCAAAUGGUAUUAGCGAGUAGGUGGGGUAACGGCUCACCUAGUCAACGCUCCAUAGCUGGUCUGAGAGGAUGACCAGCCACACUGGAACUGAGACACGGUCCAGACUCCUACGCGAGGCAGCAGUGGUGAAUAUUGCACAAUGGGCUAAAGCCUGAUGCAGCCAUGCAGCGUGUAUGAAGAGGGCCUUCGGGUUGUAAAGUACUUUCAGCGAGGAGGCGUUACUCGCAGAAGAAGCACCGGCUAACUCCGUGCCAGCAGCCGCGGUAAUAC
rnacentral:rRNA from 1 species